rnacentral:rRNA from 1 species
CACGUAGGGGGCAAGCGUUGUCCGGAUUUAUUGGGCGUAAAGAGCUCGUAGGCGGCUCAGUAAGUCGGGUGUGAAACCUCCAGGCUCAACCCUGGAAUGCCGGUGGAUACUGUCGGGCUCGAGUCCGGAAGAGGCGAGUGGAAUUCCUGGUGUAGCGGUGAAAUGCGCAGAUAAUCAGGAGGAACACCAAUGGCGAAGGCAG